rnacentral:lncRNA from 1 species
UCAAACUUUGGUGUUUUACCCAAUAACAAACACUUUUACGAUUGCAUGAACGAAAACCACACAACAUAAGAGAAACACUUAUACACUUUAACAAACGGUAAAGAGAAUACUUACAAUUAUUUUUGAAAUUUUGUUAUUUCAUGGUUUAUGAUCAUCUAUACAAAGAAUCCUCAAUGGUAUGCAUUAUAAUUGUAUAAGAAAUGAAAUACGGCGAAAAUAAUCGAUGUUUUGAAACCCCAAACCCUGGUUCCUCGGAAAUUCCGAGGAAAUUCCGAGGAAAUUCCGAGGAAACCUGGUUCCUCGGAAUAUUUUCAUUUAACCGGGUAAACCAAGCCGCCAAAUAUUUCGCGAAAAUUGAAUUAAUGAUUUCCGAGGAAAUUCCGACGGAUAUAGUAAAUAUUUCCGAGGAAAUUCCGACGGAUAAUUUCCGUCGGACCCCUCAUUUUAUUAGGUCGAGCCCGACCUUCUUCCCCAUUUCUCUCCGCCGCAAUCUCUCUUUCUCCUGCGAUUUCGUCGACUCCUCUCUUCUCCCUUGCGAUUUGCGGCGCUUUCUCUCUUCUCCCUCGCGAUUUCCACCCUAAUCCUCAUGUAUGAACCCUAUCCCACUCUUUUAGGUUAGAUUUGUAUGGUUUUUAAGUAGAUUUGAUGAUUUUGGAAUGAGAUUUAUAGAUUUUGUUAGGGUGAAUGGUAGAUUUAUAGAUUUUGUUAGGGUGAAUGGUAGAUUUGAUUUGUAUCACUUGAUUUGAAUUUUUUUUUUUAGUUUUUAUUAAUUUUGUGGUUAUAAAAAUCGAAUUUGUAAUUAUAUAUAUAUAUAUUGAAAACGUUUUUUGUAUAUAAAAUCUAUUUUUUGCAUUUUAAAUUCAUUUAUAUAUUUAUUAAACAUUUUUAAAAUCUAUAAAACUUUUUUAAGAUUAAAAAUCAUAUAUAUAAUAUUUAAAAUCAUUUUUUUGUGGUUAUAAAACGUUUUAUGAAUUUUAUAUAAAAAAUAUAAAUUUCUAUAUUUAUUAAACAUUUUUAAUAUUAUGAAAACUAUUUUUUGUAAUUAUUUAACAUUUUAAAUAUUUUUAAAACUAUUUUUUGUAAUUAUUAACUGUUUUUGUGAUUUAUUUAAACUAUUUUUUUAAUUUUUAUACUAUUUUAUAUUUAUUAAAACUAAUUUUGUAUUUAUAAAACAUUUUUUUUAUUAUAAACACUAUUUUAUUAUUUUUUGUAUUUAUAAAAACUAUUUUGUAUUUAUAAAAAGAUGAUUUCAUAUUUAUAAAAAUAUUUAUAUUUAUUAAAACUAAUUUUGUAUUUAUAAAAC